rnacentral:ribozyme from 1 species
UGCCCAGCAACUCCUAUCCCUACCUCCUCGCGGUACUGGCCGGGGUACGAGUAACCUUAGGGAAGAUCGGGUAACCAACCCCCGGUGGGAACUUUGGUCGUAUGCUGACAAGGAAGG